CNCCCUACUAAAUGUGGUAUGUCACUGC
rnacentral:piRNA from 1 species